AAAACACUGGCGCCCCUGCAACCUGCUGCUGCUCCAUAACGCGGCGAAUAACAGCUCACAGCGUGCGCGUGCGAGUGAAGCACGAGCUCCAUUCGUGCCACAUGUUAUUUCAGUGGCAGCUGCUGCCAGGUGAGAUUACCUGCAGACCCUCCACCAAGGCGUCGUUACCAAACACAAAGCGCACCACAAGUUUUCUCUCUACGUCUGCGCACCUUCUCCCGGUGGACAGCUCGCUGACUCUGAUCUUCCUGGCGGAUGACAAGACUCAGGAUGACGGCAGGACGCGGAAGAGGAGUGCGGUGUUGAUCCUCCCUGGUGGACGGCAGGAAGGGAUCAUGGCAAAGAAUAAAGACGCACGACGUCAUUCGGUUCCAGUCCGAAACCGAGGUAGGGCAACUGAGGCAGCUCGGGGGAGCACGGUCUGUUCCGGGGAGAGCAGAGCGAGGACCGCCACAAGACGAGGCCCGACAGAGGAGCGCGGCCCUGUCCGAUAGACGACAGAAAGAAGCGCUGUCCUUAAGAACAAGCAGCAGACCCCAGGGCUCUUCGACGCGUACCUCAGCCGACAGCACCACUACCCGCAGGUAAACAUCUGGAUCCAGAACCGGACGGUGAGGAUGAAGGAGCGAGACCCGGAGCUACGAGACGGCGCAGCGUCGCCGCAGCUUGUGUCCGACUGCUGGCCUGGUGGGACUUCAGAUCAUGUACAGUUGGAAAAGACACAUAGGAUGACGAAGAGGAGGCUGAACGUGCAAUGUGUGGACGUAGUCAGACAAACCUUUCACAGUUGAGAUGCACACGCACGGUUUCCACACAGUUGUCGACGUGCAUCGCUGGUUGGCUGGCAUGAGAUCAGUCACUUGGUCAAAGACUCAUUUACCACAUAAAUCUGUAUUAGAGGGCAGAGUGACGGGACGUCACUGUCUGCUCACAGCCCUACAGAUGAACUGUGUUGAUUCCGGGGCUCUGGAUGAUUUUUCACGUUACUCUUGAAACUGAAGAUGGAAAAGGAAGCACCCGACCUAUAGGGUGAUACAAUCCGGGUGAAUUCAGACUGAAGCUACGUGUUUUAAAGACCUCCGUGAUGUUAAAGGACGAGGAGACGGCUUCAGAAGAAAGUAAAGCCUGGAUAUGGUCGAGGGAGGAACACGUUCCUGUUUCCUUUUUAUAAUCAAACCUGAAGCUGUUUACAUUUCAUUACAGUCUCCUUUCAUUUCCAAACAUGUUGGACUCAGUCUGCCUGCCUUCAUCUGAUG
rnacentral:lncRNA from 1 species